GCAACUCCUCAUCUUGGGAUGAGGAUGAUGGGGGCUCAUCCCCUGAGCUCCCAGGAGCCCCAUCCCCAUCCCCGUCCACCUCUGAGUCCUGCAGCACCUGAGCGAUGUAUUUCUGAAGGGGGAGAGGAAAUAGGGGCAAGGUGAACAGCUACCCCUCAUGGAUGGGGGGAACACCAGGGCCUGUAGGACAGCAGAGUGGGCAGGGCCCUGGGAGGCGGGGGCAGCCCUCCAGGGAGACCAGCUCUCUCCCUGCCCCCAUGGGGUCUGGAACAGGUUCCCCUUUCUGCAGGACUAAGGGAACACUGGGCUUUGAGGCUGAGUCUGUCAGAGGCCCCUCCCAACUCUUGAGGGUACUCACCGCAGAUUUGGGGACAGCAGCAGCAGUGGAGGGCCGUCCAUUGCUUCUGGGGUCCACAGUAUCUGUCUCCGUGUGCUCAAUCUUGAGGAGCCCAGAAUGAGUCAGGAAGUGGGGGCAUGUCCUCAUCCCUGAUCAUGGCCCCAUGCCCGCUUGGCCCUGUUGGUACUGCCCUCAGCCCUUGCCAGCCCUGGGACCCUCUGUAUCCCCUUGAGCUCCUGCCCGCAGCCAUCCCCCCUGCCACCCUCGCCCCACACCUUGUAGUUGUGGGCACUGAGGUAUUUGAAGUGUCCAAAGCAGACGUGGCAGAGACAGAUGACGAUGGUGAUGACCAGGACCACGAAUGUGAACAUAGAUGUGGGAGCUAGGAACCCUGGUGUUGGGGGGGCAAAGAAUGGGGUUGCUAUCUCCUGUGGGUACCCCCAGGGCCUCCCCACCCCAGCUUCUGAUACCCUCUGAAUGCAGUCCUCACUCUCCCAGGUGCUACAGCCUGGUCCCGGCCUCUCCCAGGCCCCUUGCCCGCCACCCCCAGCCAUGCGGCUUCUCCUAUGGCCUGCUCUGCCUGGACUCUGGCUGGAAUCCCCUCUGUUCACGCCCCCGUUCCCUGGGUAGGGAUCCCUCACCCGUGCGCAUGGUGGAAAAGAAGAGCAGCCAGAAGAGGCAGAGGAUGGGCGCGGCUACCACCUGGUUCACAGCCCCCGAGUGGAUCUUCUUGUCCAGCUUGGCCGGCAGGUAGGCGUAGUAGAGAUUGUACCUGUCUACCAGGUGCUUCAGCAGCAUGUACAUGAGCCCUAAGGGAAGCCACAUGGGCCCUGACCUCGGAACCAGUGCCGCCGAACCUUUGUGUGUCUGUCACAGGUUGUCCUGGUCCUGAGAAGGCCGAAGGGUUGGCCCCCUCCUCCUGCCCGGGCCCCAGGACGGGAUAGUGCCCCAUGCCCCAGCCUGAUCACAGAACUUCAGCUUCCUCCGCUCCAACCCCUUCAUUCUGCACUCCUCAUUGGGAAUUCUACUACUGGAAAUCUAGUCAUCUGGAUCAACAAGCAUCUUCUUAAAACCCAUAUCAUUUUUCUCUAUCCCUGUCCCUAAACAGAGACAGAGUGGCAACAGACAGCUCCAAGAACUUGUGCCUCAUAAAGAGCCAUGGAGAGAGUGCUCAAGACCACCUAAGGCUACCAGAUCGUUCAGGAGAGAACUGUCCAGGAUCCCCAAAGACAACCCAGUGAGACCCUCAACCCAAAGGCUGAGCCCCAGGAACACCCAGAAGAUUCCCCCACUAUGACCAUAACUCCAGUUACCCCCCGAGUGUGACGUGAACCUCAGAUACCUCCACAAACAAGCUUUGAGACCCUUCCCCCGACAUCUCUGGGGGAGCCCAGGAACCUUUGUCAGUGCCUGAGAUGCCCCAAGUGUGAGUCAAAGAUCACCACAGAUGGCCUAGAGCAAAAUCCCUAGAGUCUGUGCCCACAGCCAUGAUGCAUGACCCCCAAUAUAUCCUCACAUGAUUCCCAGAGAAGAUGCCCAUACAGAACUCCAUAGGCACCCCCUGAAUAAAAGCCUGAAAUGUUA